rnacentral:rRNA from 1 species
UACAGAGGGUGCGAGCGUUAAUCGGAAUUACUGGGCGUAAAGCGUGCGUAGACGGUUAUUUAAGUCGGGUGUGAAAGCCCCGGGCUCAACCUGGGAAUUGCAUUCGAGACUGAAUAGCUAGGGUACGGUAGAGGGAAGUGGAAUUUCCGGUGUAGCGGUGAGAUGCGUAGAUAUCGGAAGGAACAUCAGUGGCGAAAGCGACUUCCUGGACCAGUACCGACGUUCAGGCACGAAAGCGUGGGGAGCAAACAGG